CGGAAGUAGUUCAGUGGUAGAACAUCACCUUGCCAUGGUGGGGGUCGCGGGUUCAAAUCCCGUCUUCCG
rnacentral:tRNA from 2 species